AAACCCUGACGAAGCAACGCCGCGUGGAGGAUGAAGGCCUUCGGGUCGUAAACUCCUGUCGACCGGGACGAAAGCAGUCUGACCCAAGUACGUCGGGCUGUUGACUGUACCGGUGGAGGAAGCCCCGGCUAACUCCGUGCCAGCAGCCGCGGUAAGACGGAGGGGGCAAGCGUUGUCCGGACUCACUGGGCGUAAAGCGCGUGCCGGCGGUUGGGUGCGUCGGUGCUGAAAGCGCCCCGCUUAACGGGGCGAGGCGUGCCGAUACGACCUGACUUGAGGCAGGCAGAGGGUGGCGGAAGUCCGGGUGUAGUGGUGAAAUGCGUAGAGAUCCGGAGGAACGCCAGUGGCGCAAGCGGCCACCUGGGCCUGACCUGACGCUAGAACGCGACAGCGUGGGGAGCAAACCGGAUUAGAUACCCGGGUAGUCCACGCCGUAAACGAUGUCGGCUCGGUGGGUAGUUCCUGUUUAGGGAACCGCCUGCCUUAGCUCACGCGGUAAGCCGACCGCCUGGGGACUACGAGCGCAAGCUUA
rnacentral:rRNA from 1 species